GUACACUUCGGCAGCACAUAUACUAAAAUUAGAAUGAUACAGAGAAGAUUAGCAUGGCCCCUACGCAAAGACGACAUGCACCUAGUUAUGAUUGUGUGCCUCAGAUCUUA